UUUUUCUAUGCUUUGAGUUCAUGGACUGGAUAUAGUUAAUGGAGAGCCGAUAAGGAUACCCAAAAGAAGUAUUCUUCGGUGAUCGUUUACUGGUGGGUCACAGGGCACAAUACAUAUGCUAAACGUCAGAACAAAGUCAAGCUGGAGGAUUCUUUCUUCGUUUCUUUGAAGUGAGACAACUUCCCUGUUCUGGAGUACAGCUAGCUGCAGUAGAUAUGAAAAACACAGUUCAAAUUGCCAGUUAAUAGGCGAAGUAGAAGUGAAUGAAGUAACUUAGCGAAGCAGAACCAACAAUGAAGUUAUCUAUCUUACAACUCUUUAUCUGGUGACGCAGAGCCAUAACAUGUAAGUUGUCAAUUUUAUCCUACAAAGAUAUGCGGUACAAUGCAAGCAUUAGACUAUGUUCAACGUUAAGUUGUAUGGUAGAAUAGG